UACGUAGGGUGCGAGCGUUACUCGGAAUUACUGGGCGUAAAGUGUGCGCAGGCGGCCGAGCAAGUCGAGUGUGAAAGCCCCGAGCUUAACUUGGGAACUGCGCUCGAAACUACUUGGCUAGAGUGUGGCAGAGGGAGGUGGAAUUCCACGUGUAGCGGUGAAAUGCGUAGAGAUGUGGAGGAACACCGAUGGCGAAGGCAGCCUCCUGGGCCAACACUGACGCUCAUGCACGAAAGCGUGGGGAGCAAACAGG
rnacentral:rRNA from 1 species